CUUUUACCAUUAAUAACAAAACAUGGACAGUGUUUUAGAUCUGAUUUUAUGUCCAGCAUAAACCUAACAUUUAUUGUGGUUGUGGUAAUAACGGGGACAUGUUUAGACAGUAGGACCCCUUAACCGGAAAUUGUCCUUUUAAGAAAAUAAAAGUACAUAGUUGUCGGCGGAAACAGUCAAAUGAUACUUCCAAAAAUAUAUUGAAAACGGCGAUUUUAAACACUACACGUACGUGUUAAUGUUUGGAGGAGGUUAGAACACGUUUAAAUAAUUUAAUGUUUUAAUAUAUUGUGUAAGUAACUGCACCGCGGCAUGACUGCAAACGAAUUUGCGACGUCGACGUUACGACGGUACGUAGCUUUGGCUAGCUAGCCGUGUAGUUUGUCCUAAUACGUUUCUCGAAGCUUCUGGAUAUUAGGACAUUGGUGAGCCUUAUUUAUUUUAUUUUUUUCAUUACAAAGAUGUCGCUCUUGGAACGUUGUUGAACCGACAGUAGUGUUAAGAUGACCACAUUAGUGGCAUAUGAGGAUUCUGAGUCUGAGGAUGAAGUUCUAGACCAGAAAGAAAGAGCUGGACCAAGACAAAAAGUGAAAGACUGUCCUUCAUCAGCGUUGAAGUUGAACUCUGACAGCACACGGUUGGAAUGCCACCAGAAUGACCAUUCUUCACAAAAGCAGAGCUGUUCUUUUAGUUCACCUGUUGCUCUUCAGCACAACGCCACUCGACUUCCAUACAUCCCACCAAGUGUUCCUGAUAAAACCAAAAGACCUUGGACUGUCCCGCCUGGUGUCCGACCCUAUAUUCCCAAGAGGCAAAGACUUGUCCCGUCUUCCGCAAACGAAGAGGAAAACCCAAAAGGGGGAGUUCACAGCAAAGAUGUCCAAAUUCUCUCAGCGGUGUCUCAGAAAGUUAUGCUGCAUCUUGCUCACACACCUGCUCCUGCUCCUGCUCCUGCUGCUGGGAUACCCAAGAAGCUUCUGCUAAGCCUUCAAGCCCACCAGGGUGUGGUCAACACGGUGCAAUGGUGUCCAGUUCCUCAGAGAAGUCAUCUACUGCUGUCAGCCUCCAUGGACAAGACCUUUAAGGUGUGGGACGGGGUCGAGAGCGGACGAUGCCUGAAGGUUUACACCUGCCACUCAGGAGCCGUGCGGGACGCACACUGGAGUCCCUGCGGCCGCCAGCUCCUCACCGGCUCCUUUGACAACUCCGCUGCGGUUACCGACGUGGAGACGGGCCAGCGCAUCAUCAAAGCGGAUAAUCAGUUCAAGGUGAUGUGUGUGCUUCCGCAUCCCGCCAACUCCGAGGUAUUCCUGUGCGGAGGUUACAGUUCAACGGUCAACGCCUGGGACGCUCGCUGCAGCAAGGUGGUUAAAGUAUACAAAGCAGCAAUCCAGCAGACCUUGGCCAUUCUCUUCCUGAGAGGCGGCCAGGAUGUCAUCACAAGCUCCGAUUGCGUCAGCAGAGACUCGGCAGACCGCACCUUGAUCGCUUGGGACUUCCACACUACCGCUAAGAUCUCCAACCAGAUCUAUCAUGAGCGCUACACGUGCCCCAGCCUGGCUCUUCAUCCACAGGAGGAUUCCUUUGUAGCCCAGACUAACGGCGACUACAUGGCUUUGUUCUCCUCCCAGCGGCCCUAUAGGAUGAACAAGAGGCGUCGUUACGAAGGACACAAGGUCGAGGGAUAUGCGGUGCAGUGUGAAUUUUCUCAGGACGGAACAAUUCUAGCGUCCGGCAGCUCCACCGGCUCAGCCCACUUCUACGACUUUCACAACGCUCGGCCGCUUCGCUCCCUGCGAGCGCACAGCCAGCCGUGCCUGUGCGUGUGCCAACAUCCCGUCCUGCCAGCCACCGCCGCCACUUGCGACUGGGCCGGCGAGAUCAAGGUCUGGCACUGAGGAUGAAGUCAAAAAUGGAACUUUAAUGUUAGAUAGCAGCAAGACCAGCUCAUUAGCAGCGACGGCUGUCUCACACCAAACGCCGAGGGUUCAGAAAAAAUGAACCUUGACUCCAAUCAGCCCUGCAGGAAAUGGAGAAGGAUUGUCCAAAUCCUCUUCUGCCACUCAAAAGGCCUCACGACUGCCAGAGAGCAAAAAGAGAAUAUCUAACCUGGCCUCCAGUCCUCGCAGAGAUCUUCAUUUCAAAACUUCUUAGAAAUCUCCAAGAUCUUGUGAAAAUAUGAGACUUGACUUUUAUGAUGAGUCGCCGCUUCGAGCCAACGUCCACUAACAAGGCUGGAUUGUGGACCAGGAAUGGAAGUUAAAGCACUUGUGUAGCAUGAUGUUGUUUAUGAAUCCAUGAAUCAGCCGUAGACAAAGAUGAUGGAAUAACGACCAGAGAGAGCUUUGAGAGAGUAAAAGAGAUAGGCCUGAUGAGUCCUUUGUCCUUUCUAUCCUUGAUGACAGAUCAAUGAUAAACAUCAAGUCCUCUGCUGUCACUGAGCCAAAAAGGAAGAACAUGGUGUCACUCCAGGACAGUUCUUCGAUGUGUCUGCAACAAAGCUUUACCAGAGUCUGUUUCCUUCGGGCGAUGUUGCCAUGCCAACCGCACGCUCAUACAACCAAGUGAAAUGUGAAUUCCAAAAGAUGUCAGACACAUUCUACACUCUGCUCGCUUUAUUCCCCCUCAUCACAAAAAGCUUUUCAAGUUGUUCCCCGAGUGGCCAUCAGUCUCAUCCAUCUGCUUCCAGCAUCUUCAUCCUGACGAGCGCAAAGCCGUCGUUGCCAUGGAGAGGACGGACAGCACGACCUCGGCUAAUUAAAUUUAGAUCAAACCAAUACCUUGGAAGUCAGAGGCAUCAUCACAGUGGUGGCCCUUGAUUGCAUGAGUUCCUUCUGCCAUUAGCAAGAGGUCGUCACAAUCAUGCCGCCUUUACGCACACUCUCCCUUUUAUGAGGUAGGAGGAGCUUGUGGCACGGGG